rnacentral:rRNA from 1 species
CCAGGAGGUAGUGACAAGAAAUAACAAUACGGGGCUUUACGUCUUGUAAUUGGAAUGAUGGGAAUCUAAACCUCUUCCAGAGUAUCAAUUGGAGGGCAAGUCUGGUGCCAGCAGCCGCGGUAAUUCCAGCUCCAAUAGCGUAUAUUAAAAUUGUUGCAGUUAAAAAGCUCGUAGUUGAAUUUCUGCUGCAUCGCCUUUUCUCCUUUACGAGUUUUGGCAUUGUGGCUUAUUUCGGAUUUGCUUGCAUUUCCGAAUGUUUACUUUGAGAAAAUUAGAGUGCUCAAAGCAGGCUUUUGCCUUGAAUAGUUUAGCAUGGAAUAAUAAAGUAGGACUUUGGUUCUAUUUUGUUGGUUUUAGGUACCAAAGUAAUGGUUAAUAGGAACAGUUGGGGGCAUUCGUAUUUAACUGUCAGAGGUG